UACAGAGGGGGCAAGCGUUGUUCGGAAUUACUGGGCGUAAAGGGCGCGUAGGCGGCCCGCUAAGUCGAACGUGAAAUCCCUGGGCUCAACCCAGGAACUGCGUCCGAUACUGGCAGGCUUGAAUCCGGGAGAGGGAUGUGGAAUUCCAGGUGUAGCGGUGAAAUGCGUAGAUAUCUGGAGGAACACCGGUGGCGAAGGCGGCAUCCUGGACCGGUAUUGACGCUGAUGCGCGAAAGCCAGGGGAGCAAACGGGG
rnacentral:rRNA from 1 species